UACGUAGGGUGCGAGCGUUGUCCGGAAUUAUUGGGCGUAAAGAGCCCGUAGGCGGUCUGUCGCGUCUGCUGUGAAAACCCGAGGCUCAACCUCGGGCCUGCAGUGGGUACGGGCAGGCUAGAGUGCGGUAGGGGAGAAUGGAACUCCUGGUGUAGCGGUGGAAUGCGCAGAUAUCAGGAAGAACACCGAUGGCGAAGGCAGUUCUCUGGGCCGUAACUGACGCUGAGGAGCGAAAGCGUGGGGAGCGAACAGG
rnacentral:rRNA from 1 species